CAGUCGCCGCGGGAAUACAGAGGGUGCGAGCGUUAAUCGGAUUUACUGGGCGUAAAGCGUGCGUAGGCGGCUUUUUAAGUCGGAUGUGAAAUCCCUGAGCUUAACUUAGGAAUUGCAUUCGAUACUGGGAAGCUAGAGUAUGGGAGAGGAUGGUAGAAUUCCGGGUGUAGCGGUGAAAUGCGUAGAGAUCUGGAGGAAUACCGAUGGCGAAGGCAGCCAUCUGGCCUAAUACUGACGCUGAGGUACGAAAGCAUGGGGAGCAAACAGGAUUAGAUACCCCAGUAGUCCCUGUCUCUUAUAU
rnacentral:rRNA from 1 species